rnacentral:snoRNA from 1 species
UAGCUUCAAAGAAAAGCAACCCCAUGGGGGCCAGGUGUGCAAUGGUUACAAAGAGCAGCUUCCUUGGUAGUUUAUGUAGCCUCUUGCCUAUAUGGGUUUCCCUAAAGGACGGACCUUGGAGACAAUU